CAUCAAUGGCAGCUUUCCACAAACUGCAGCUGAAAGAUGUCAUUACUGGAACUGUCAGAAACAAUAGACUUACAGCUGCGGCCACCGAUCAAGAAAUUGAAACAUUUAUUAAAAAAUGGCUUCAUCUGUCAAGUGACCGAGACGGAGGGAGAAGAGAAAGGGAGAAACGGAGGAGGUCCCAAGACACCUGCUUGCAAGAUUGCCAUGAUGACACAGAUGGGCCCAGUCAAGGAGGUCAAAUUCUUUAAUUUUGGAUGGCUCCAUUUGCCAAUGUUUUCUAGUGUGUUUACUUCUG